AGACUACAGUAGCGAUCUUCGGUAAACUCGAGGUAAACUCCCUCCACGUAAUUCCUUGUGGAGACAAAAUAAUGUAACGAGACCUUACACAUUUAUUGAAUACAAUUUUCCCGAAUUUUCAACAAGUAAUCAAAUAAAAACUGAUACUUUAUAAAGAUCACGUUCGACUCGAUGCUGUUUUCGUGGGUAUGUUCAUUUUCUCAAUUCUCUCUCUCAACUUGCUUGGGCCUACAUUCAAAGUGGUCACUUCAGUCGACCAUCGAUUGUAUACGACCACCGUGACUUUGGCCUGUGCUUCAUCUUCUCUGACAGCUUCAAUCUGGAACAAAUGGGUCUAUGAAUUAUUUAAGGAGUAGGAGAGAAAAAGAAGUUUCCCCACAACUCGCUCUCGAUUCAAUAGACGUAAUUAAAUUUCAACUAAAGAUCCACGAGAUGACAGAUUAGUGAGUGCAUUAAGUCAUGUAAGGUGAAUUCUCAACUAACCUAAUGAACGAUAUAUUCCGUAGAUUUUGUGAAGCUGUGCUGUUGUUUUAUUAUAUUAUUGUACCCCUUAAACAUAUUUACAUUGCACCCAUAAAUAUUUUUACAGAGACUACGUGUUAUCGCAUUAUUCACAAAAGACACAAUUCACUUCUCUAGCAUCAACUUGUUGCCAUUCACCUGUCAGAUUUGUUUAGGCUUCAAUUGUGUAUUUCCAUUACCAAAAAUGUGUAAGAGUUUGUUUGUAGUCAUAAAAAUUCUUGAAAGGUUCUUAGGUUUUAGAAUCAUUUAAACGGCUGUUCAUCUUACUACAAUAUGCAUUGAAAUAAUGAUAUUGUAACAAUUAUUGAAGCUAAAGAAUAAAAUGAAGAAAGAACCAAUUUCACCAAGUGAUGAUCAUAUCGUUGGGAACUGUUUAUGUUAAAUAUAGUUGGCCAAUUCAAUAAAAAAAAACAAAAUUAAAUUCGAAAUCGGAAAUUAACCCACCCACAUGAACUACAUUGGGUUGUGAUAAAGUCAUAGAAAGUAAACAGCUGAAGCACCCUGAGCUAUUUUUGAAUAAUUAUAUUACUUUUACAAUGUUCAAUAAAUAAGUUGAGUCUAAUUAAUAGAAAGAUUAAAUUCAAUCACGUUGUAAUUUAAAAAAGAACACAACGAUAAAACUACAAAGUCAUUGAAAAAAAUUUUAAAUGUCAAGUGUUAUUGUGUUAGGUCAUUAUGAAGAUGAUCCUCAUUUUUUUUAGGGCCUAAACAAUUCAGACACAUCAACGACAAUGCUCGUCUUGAUGCAAAGAAAAUCAAUACUAAGUUAAUUCUUUUU
rnacentral:misc_RNA from 1 species